AUUGAACGCUGGCGGCAGGCCUAACACAUGCAAGUCGAGCGAGCGGCGGACGGGUGAGUAAUGUCUGGGAAACUGCCUGAUGGCGGGGGCUACCUCCUGGAGACGGUAGCUAAUACCGCAUCCCAUCGGACGUGCCCCGAUGGGAUUAGCUAGUAGGUGGGGUAACGGCUCACCUAGGCGACGAUCCCUAGCUGGUCUGAGAGGAUGACCAGCCACACUGGAACUGAGACACGGUCCAGACUCCUACGGGAGGCAGCAGUGGGGAAUAUUGCACAAUGGGCGCAAGCCUGAUACAGCCAUGCCGCGUGUGUGAAGAAGGCCUUCGGGUUGUAAAGCACUUUCAGCGGGGAGGCGUUACCCGCAGAAGAAGCACCGGCUAACUCCGUGCCAGCAGCCGCGGUAAUUC
rnacentral:rRNA from 1 species